CGGAAAUGUCUCAACCCUCUGCAGAAGACUGUACAGGGAUGUGAUGAUGGAGAACUGUGGUAACUUGGUCUCGCUAGGCCAUUCCAUUUCUAAGCCAGAUGUAAUUACCUUAUUGGAACAAGAGAAAGAACCCUGGAUGGUUGUAAGGGAAGCAACAAGAAGGUGAUAUACAGCACCUGGUCUUCCUAGGUGGUCUCACAUCAAAGUACUAGCCAGGCCCGACCCUGCUUGGCUUCCAAGAUCAGAUGGAAUCAGGCUUCUUCAGGGUGGCAUGGCCAUAGACAAUUCUGAGUUUUUCUAAUUCUUGUUUGUGAUCGCUCAUAUCUCAAAGUAUUUUCUUCCUUUUAGCAUGUUUUUGAAUAGUAUGGUAUAGUUUUUCUCUGUUUUCAAGGCAUUUGUUUAAGAUGUAUUUAUAUUGUUUUUAUAACUAUCAUUAACUUUAGUCAUAUAAUUUCUUGUAUGGAAUUUCCUCCAGAAGACACAUCUCAGCUCCAAAGUCAAAUAUAGACUCAAAGUGAAAGGGUGGAAAGUGAUAUUUCAAGCAAAUGGCAUUCAGAGAAAAGCAGGAGUAGUGGUACUAAUAUCAAAUGAA